AAACAACAGAUCGGGUUUCUAAAAGCUAUUUCAACCCCCCUCCCAGUUACUGCCACCCUCUCCCAGGUCUAGAGAGGGGUACCCACGGUGGAGGGAGGUGGGAGGCCGAGACGGCCCCGGGGGUCGGCGGAGACCCAGCGGGAGCAGGGGGAAAUCGGAAGAGCUGGGGGCAUGGAGCGGGCGAGUUUGGAGCGGAAUGAGCCGGGAGCCCUACGUUGUGGAAGGAAGACAACAGUAUAGGACCAUCAGCAGGACCGGACAGAGAGGGGCACGUAAGCAGUAAUUACUGGAUGGCAUAGUAAUUCUACUAAAAAUUAAAAUGCCACUUAUUGGAAUGGUGUGUGAACACUCUAAAGCAACCCGGGAAGAAGACAGCAGUCAAGAAGACCAAGGAAGGAAAUGGAGGAGGGAUGACCCCACCAUUACAGGCAGGGAAGGACUGACCAAAGAGACAGAAAUGUAGUCUAGGAAAUGUGUCAUCUUAGAAAGGAACGGGAAGGGGCUGGAGAGGUGGCUCAGAAGUAAAGAGCAGUGGAUGCUCUUUCAGGGGACCUGAGUUGGCCUCCUAAUGUCUUCAGGUACCUCCUAACUGCAUGUAACUCCAGCUCCGGGAGAUUCUGGAUUCUUCUGGUCUCCACGGCACUGCGUUCACGCGCACGCGCGCGCGCACACACACACACACACACACACACACACAAAUUAAUCUUAGAAAAGCAUAGGAAGCCUGAUUUUUUGUUUGUUUGUUUGUUUUGGGGUUUUUUUUUUGUUUGUUUUGUUUUGUUUUUGAGACAGGGUUUCUCUGUAUAGCCCUGGCUGUCCUGGAACUUGUAGACCAGGCUGGCCUUGAACUCAGAAAUCCGCCUGCCUCUGACUCCCGAGUGCUGAGAUUAAAGGUGUGCACCACCACACCCGACAAGGAAGCCUGUUUUAAGAAGUGAUUCCAUGGAGGAGUUCUGCGGCGGCUCAGGGCUUGACUAAACAGUGGACCUCAGGUAAGAUGCUGCCUUGAAAGACUGUCUAAGGCUUUUUUUUUUUUUUUUUUUUUUUUGAGACAGGGUUUCUCUGUGUAGCCCUGGCUGUCCUGGAACCCACUCUAAACCAGUCUGGCCUCAAACUCAGAAACCCACCUGCCUCUGCCUCCUAAAUGCUGGGAUUAAAGGGUGUGCCACCACUGCUCUGCUAGUCUAAGGCUUUCCAGAGAAGGAUCAUGUUCUUGCAGGGUCCCAUUUCUCUCAGUAGACAAGAGAGGCUAAACCAGGCUGCAGGUGACAGGAAGAAUUGAAUAAACUGAAAGCAAAGGGCAGCCUUCUAAUUACGCUUCGUGGCUAUGUGGACAACCUGGAGAAGUCUGGAAACAAAGAAGCCAGAAGCCCGAAGCCAGCAGUAGAGCUCUGACUGGCUUGUAUGCCUAGAAAGGAAGGGCUCUUCUUUCGCCUCACGGGCACAAAUGGGACCCACGAGCGCCGAUUUCAGACUAUUCUGAUCCCUUCAAAAAGAAAGUUAGGAGUCCAGGCUACUACCCGAGGGUGAAGGAUGAGGAGGAUGGAAGAAAAUGGGAGUGGCGCUUGCUGCAAAGGGUCUCGAAGGGUCUCAGCACCUGCGAACUGGCUCCAAUCCAAACUCCACUAUUCAUGGUCAAGUUCACAUAGGGCUUGGGGUUCUAACAAGAUGUGACUAAACUUACGUUUUCUAUCUUAUUGAUUGUUGUUGAUGCACGUCUGGUGGUACAUGCUUGAAGAACACAGACACCCUGAGAAGAAAGACAUAGCUCCCCAGAUUCCAGCACGCACUUCUCUGUGAGCUACCACUGUAGCUGAAGAUACAGGGCUCAGGAGGAACACUUGGCCUUCGCUCUGAACUUCAGGCCCACGUAACCAUCAGCCGACAUGACACUGCAAAGGCACCUUAGCUCUGCUGUCCCAGAUGGCCAAGCCAACCUUAUUCCAGAAGCUACUUCUCCUGAUGUAAGAACCAGACACAAAGGACAACCUCUGCCUCACCCUCCUUCACACAACACUGAGUCUGUCAUCUUUGAAGCAUUUCUCAAGCCAUGUUUAUUCCCCUGGCCUACGUGGAACACAGCCAGGGUACGGAACACAACCUCAGCACCGGUCUGCUUUCCUCUCCCCAUUUCUGGUCUUUCUCAGAUGCCCAGAGCUCCUCUGUCCCAAUGACUGCUUAUCAAAGAUCUCACUGUGUCCCCACCCAAGGGGUCUUUGGCCACCCUGUGAAGUCCUAGUGGCCUGGAGUUUGCCCCCUUUCCCAGACACCUUAGGGUUCCUGCUGCAGCUCCAGAACUGGGGGAGCAGGGUUGGGGGUGAGUGUGUGUGUGUGUGUGUGUGUGUGUGUGUGUGUGUGUGUUGACUCACCCUGCAGUAUUCUCUCCAUCUGCACAGGUCCCCAGUCUCUGAGACUGAAUCACCCCUCUUUCACUAUGCCUCUGCACAGCUGCCCUUGUGCUCCCUCUCCUUGCCCCGCCUCUUUUUAAGACAGUAUUAUGCAGCCCUGGCUGUCCUGGAACUUAUGUAAACCAGCCUGGCCUUGAACUUGCAGAGAUCCACCUGCCUUUGCCUCUGCCCCUGCCCCUGCCCCUGCCCCUGCCCCUGCCCCUGCCCCUGCCUUUCUGCCUCUGCCUCUGCCUCUCUGCCUUUCUGCCUCUGCCUCUCUGCCUCUGCCUCUCUGCCUCUGCCUCUCAAGUGUCAGGGAUUAAUGCCUGCCACCUCCCCAGUCCCACCCCUCUCCAUCUACCAUGUGGGUUCCACGGGGCAAACCCAAGUCAUCAGGCUUGUUGGCCAGUGCCUUUAUCCACUGAGCCAAGCCGCUUGGUGUGUCUUUGAUGGUGAUUAUUUACAGGAGCUAUUCAGCAAGGUUAAAUGCUGGCAACCCAAUGAGGGGGUCUCUUGAUCCAAAACUGAGAAGUUGAGGCACUAUUUCAGAAUGACCAAAGACAGUAGAAGAAUCUAGAUAUGUCGAUGAUGAGAACAAUGAUAACUCCAAAAGCUGAGGGAAAUUAACUCAAAAUCUUCCAGCUUCCUUUUCCUUACCUAGUUUGGCGGACUCCAACUCUUGGGAUAGCUUUUUUUCUGGCCCCAAACUCACCUGAUUCGUCUGUCCACUGCCACACUGAAGAAUGAACAGCUGUCUCAGAGAGCUUGGCUCCAGAGCUCUGCAAAAAGAGGACACCUUGCCUUGAGCUGUGUUUCCAGAAUGUAUUGCAGCCCCCAGAGUCAUGUACUGUGACCAGGUGAGGACAUGCAUCUUCUGUUCUCCUGCACCCAGGGCCCCAGCAACCAAGGAUCUGGGGACAUGGCGGGUGUUUGGCAGGUUCGCACUCUGAAAAUAUUUGAUGAGACUCAGUAUAUGCUAAAUAAACACUGGAUCAA
rnacentral:lncRNA from 1 species